CUCUCUCCUCCAACGGCUACAUUUCCCCUUUCUCUCUCGCUCCUUUGUCUUCUCUUCCAUUUCCAAUCCAAAACCCUCUCAAUCUCUCUCUCUCCUCCGUUUCUUCUCUAUUUCUCUCUCUAGAUUUCGUAGCCAUGAAGCACUUCAUGAAACCAAGAAACGCGGUCUUGAGGGAUACGACGAUAGAGUCUGCGGCCUCGCCCAACCGUAGCACAGCCAAGCCCCGGCCGUCGUGGAAGCAGAGGGGCUCCAAGGAGAACGCUCCGCCAUCGGAUCCGAACUUUUUGCCCCCGAUUCCGGAGCAGUCGCCGGAAAUCUCUGCCGCCAAGUUGAAGAGCCCGCUCCUGCCACAACCGCCGUCGUCGAACCCUUUUAAGAGAAAGCUGAGCACGGAGACGGUUCCGGGAACUUCGUAAUUGGAACCUGCGAAUCUGGUGUCCAAAAUCUGCGGAGACAGAUGGCCCAAAAUCUCAAGUUCUGCUAGGGCAAAAUUGGAGCAAACUUUACAAUUUCUCUGAAAGUGCUCCGAUUGGUCGGCAAACGCAGGCGAUUCCUUCCCAACCGCGAAACUCUUCUAUCUUCUUAUCCGAUCCAAGCAUUCUCGCUUUUUCUCUCUUCGAUUUCCGUGUCUCUUUCGAAAACUUUCCGACGAAAUCAUUGUCAAGACUAGAUUUUUAUUGCAAUGAGGGCAAUUUCUUUUUUGUUUUUUGGUUGCAGAGUUUGUUGAAUAUGUGUACUGAUAAAGAUGGCAAAAUCGUUUCGACACAGUGUUCGGAAGGAUCUGCAAUGGUGGUUUGUGGUGAAAAGGAUAAAGUUGAGAGUUUUGGAGGUAGAGAAGAGCAUUCUGACGUGAGUGAGGAGGUAACUUGUGCCGUUUGUGGUAAUAAAGUGAGAGGGAAUAACUUCACAAUCAAUUCUCGUGUAGGGGUAGGAAAAGUUGACGAAAGGUGGGCAUCUGAGUUAGGUUGGUAGGUUGGAUUGCGCGCCACAUGACCCUACUCCAAGUCAAGGCUUGGAGGGAUAUUCCACAACCAAACAAUGUGGUGCUGCUAGACUCAAGGAUAAGUUUGAACGGAAUGAGCCUGAUUGAGAAAAAAAGGCCAAGAUAUUAGAUUCCAUCGACCGUCUGUUAAACAAGCAAUUGAAAGAUUGGAGGUGUCGGCUGCACAAAUAUUUCAUACAAAAAAGUGUGGAUAAGAGGAAGUCAAAAAACACAAACACAAACAGGUUCUGGUGCUGGCAGGUUGGGAUUCGUCAUGCGACUAUUGGUCGACUGAAAAGUAUAAGAAAAAAUCAGCAACCAAUGCUUUGAAUCAGCAUUCAAUGAGCUAAAUCAUUUGCUUCUCACGUGUUUGAUAAG